rnacentral:lncRNA from 1 species
UUUCCCAGGCAGUCUGCAAUGAGUCCUGUGACAUCCUCUCCGAAAUGGAAGUCACUGCAUGUGCUGACUGCCGGAAGUUCUACCUGUCCUGCAAUGACUCUACCUUGUGCACAGCCAGGGUCACAUGGAGCUACAAGUGGGUUGUAGUCCUUUUCACCAUCUUGAUGUUCCUGGCUGUUGCUGGCAUUGGUGGAUACUUUUUCUGGCUCCAGAAGAGGUCAGCGGAGGCUGAUAAGAGAAGAGACAGCAAGUUACUUCCUUCAGGAAACGACCAGCAACUAGGGCAGCAACCAGAGCAGCUGCCAGAGCCCAUGCUGUCUGAAAGCUGUCUCUGGCCCUGGUGACUCUCUAUUGCACAAAGCACUCCUUCCUGGGACCUGGAGAGCUCUGAGGCCCUGCAGCUCUGCAGACAAGACUGAUAUAUUCUCUCUCUCUCUCUCUCUCUCUCCCUCCCUCCCUCCC